CUUUCACCCCCAAGAAACCAAUUUCCUGUUUCAUUAACGCCAGAGCCACAGGCUUUGUUUUUGACAGUGAUUUUGGUGUUGGCUUCUGUCUGGCUGCGAGGCUUCCUUUCUGGAGCCUUCCGUAAACCACCUGCACCUUCUGUACAAACCCGAGCGACGGGAUCAUGGCUCCGGUUGUGUAGUCUGGGCGGCCCUUGAACUACACUGCCCAGGAUGGCCUCCAACUUGGGAUAUUGGAAUGGACCCCAGUGCCCGCAAGGCUCAUGGGGUAGGAGUUUGACAUCCUUCGAUCCGUUUGACUGACGGUGAUACCAGGCAUGUCCACAGUGCUGGCAUCUAGCUGGACAGGGUCCAGGUCCCGUCACGAGCUUCAGGAAGACAUCAGCGGAGAGGAAACUGGCGACACCAAGGCCUGGGGUUGGGGGGGAAGGAAGGGGGAAUUCUUCAGCCCCGUGAUUUUCCUCUAAGGAUGUGUGUGUUCCAAAUCGUGGACAAGAUAAGCCAGCAGAGGGGCAGCUGGGACGCGUGCGUGAGGGGGAUUUCCACGCGGCACACCCACCAGGCCAGCAUUCCAGCUCCAGGCCAGACAGACGGGCGAGGCCGCCCGAUGCAUCAUGGGGUACGAAGCCGACGUAGGUACAGUGCGGUGGACCUGCACGGGUAUCAUCCGGGCACUCUGGGAGGCUGGCACGUCGCAAGUUCAAGCUCAGCCUGUGCCAAAAUAAACCAUAAAACAGCGCUCAGUGCAAAGGCCCUGGGUUCAGGCUCCUGCAGUAAGCGAACAGCAACCUCAGAAAGUACAAUCAGCCGCGCAUUUGCGCUCUGUGGAUUCAACCUCCACAGACGGAAGCAUGCAGAGGCCUUUUGUUCUGGUGAUUGUUCCCUACAGGAUACACUGUGUGCACUGCACUUACACUGUAGCAAGAAUAUAAAGUCUAAGGGGAAAAGGCGGGCAGGUUCUAUGCAAAUAUCUAUGCCAUUUUAUUUCUUUCAGCUCUUUUUAUUAGUACACGCUUGCAGCCCAUAAUGCUCACGCUGCUGGUGUGGAGUUGGUCCACGCACACCACACAUCUUAAUUCAUUUCCAUCCCUCUUCCCUCCCCUCUCCCCAUCCCUCCAUCUCUUGAUCACCUUCCCAUUUGAGAAGGAUCUCUCCUCUCAUUUCCUAUUAUCUUUUGUUCUGCUCUUUAUUUGUAAUUUUGUUUCUCAUUUAAGAGUGAUAUUUAAACUUGUGUGUCUGCGAUGGUUUCGCUUAACUGACCCAAAUUUAUCCUUUUUUAUGGCAGAGUAGUACUCCCCCACGUACGAAUACCACACUUUAUCCAUUUAUCAGCUUGAUGGACGUUGAGGUUGACUUGAUUUUUGUUUCAUUUCUUGAGACAGGGUCCGGUGGGAAUCCUGUGGGCAUCCUGGAGCCAGUUUCCCAAGGUGCAGCCCGGCCUGCGUACCACAGAGACACCCCCCCAGCCAUGUUACUUUCCUGUAAUUUUCCUCCUGGAAACUCACCUUCUGCAACGCUGUUACUCAUUAACUCGCAGGCAGCCUUGACCUGGCUGCCCGGUGGCAGUGGUCCCCCUGACCCCUGCUCCGAGGGUGCUGGGGACUCCUGCUCUCAGAGCACCAGGCAGGAUCCUGGAUUCCGGAUCUGCAGGGUCCCCCGGGCACUCGGGCCACUGGUCCCUGUCUCUAUUCCUCCUCCAAACUGCAGGCCCAUGGCCACGGAAGCACCUUUCUGGUCUGGGGUGAGAAUCCAGCCACACCAGGCAAAUGGAAAACAUGGCCACUUGACCACAGUCAGAGCAGCUGUUUGUUCACGGCCACUCUGCUCGGUUCUGACAAUGGCCCUGACCCCUCCCCUGCUAAAUCCCCAUCUUAUUCUUGAACCCAGAUGCUGACCGAGCUUCUGCCUGGAAUCUUUCUCCCAGCGCCUCCUUCCUUCUGUCCCCUCUCCCACCGACUCAGGAGCCCGAGGUUGGAGGAUCACCUGAGUUACUCUGGACAAUACAGGGAGGCCUUAUUUUUUUAA